UGGUGAUUCCAUUUCCUCCAGGUUAGUCGUAGCAAUAGCAUCAUUAAAAUCCUUAGCCCUCUCUACGUCAAACUCCCCCUGACCUAAUUCCCUCACUGACAAGUAUCUGAUCUCAUUAAAAUCCCCUGUGACAAUCCAAGGGAAACUGCUAACUUGCGCUCUAAUUAACACUAAUUCCCUUAUGCAUGUAUCUUAUCUCAUCUCUG
rnacentral:lncRNA from 1 species